rnacentral:rRNA from 1 species
GUGGGGAAUAUUGGACAAUGGGCGAAAGCCUGAUCCAGCCAUGCCGCGUGUGUGAAGAAGGUCUUCGGAUUGUAAAGCACUUUAAGUUGGGAGGAAGGGCAGUAAGUUAAUACCUUGCUGUUUUGACGUUACCGACAGAAUAAGCACCGGCUAACUUCGUGCCAGCAGCCGCGGUAAUACGAAGGGUGCAAGCGUUAAUCGGAAUUACUGGGCGUAAAGCGCGCGUAGGUGGUUUUGUAAGUUGGAGGUGAAAUCCCCGGGCUCAACCUGGGAACUGACUCCAAAACUGCAUGACUAGAGUACGGUAGAGGGUAGUGGAAUUUCCUGUGUAGCGGUUAAAUGCGUAGAUAUAGGAAGGAACACCAGUGGCGAAGGCGACUACCUGGACUGAUACUGACACUGAGGUGCGAAAGCGUGGGGAGCAAACAGGAUUAGAAACCCGAGUAGUCC